GCAUAUCAAUAAGCGGAGGAAAAGAAACCAACAGGGAUUCCCCUAGUAACGGCGAGUGAAGCGGGAACAGCUCAAAUUUGAAAUCUGGCCCUCGGGUCCGAGUUGUAAUUUGUAGAGGAUGCUUUUGGUGCGGUGCCUUCCGAGUUCCCUGGAACGGGACGCCUUAGAGGGUGAGAGCCCCGUACGGUUGGACGCCUAGCCUCUGUAAAGCUCCUUCGACGAGUCGAGUAGUUUGGGAAUGCUGCUCUAAAUGGGAGGUAUAUUUCUUCUAAAGCUAAAUACUGGCCAGAGACCGAUAGCGCACAAGUAGAGUGAUCGAAAGAUGAAAAGCACUUUGAAAAGAGGGUUAAAUAGCACGUGAAAUUGUUGAAAGGGAAGCGUUUAUCACCAGACUUUUUCUAGGGGGAUCAUCCGGUGUUCUCACCGGUGCACUUCCCCUGGUUGAGGCCAGCAUCGGUUUUCGGAGGGGGAUAAAAGCUUCGGGAAUGUGACUCCCUCGGGAGUGUUAUAGCCCGUUGCAUAAUACCCUUCUGGGGACCGAGGUUCGCGCAUCUGCAAGGAUGCUGGCAUAAUGGUGAUCAACGACCCGUCUUGAAACACGGACC
rnacentral:rRNA from 1 species